rnacentral:lncRNA from 1 species
AAGAGAUAAUCUUCACCUAGUAACUUGGAUGUAUAAGAUAAACAAUCCUCCUUGUACAAGCCCAAAUAUGCCCGGGCCAAAAAAAAAUUAAACCUAAUUACAGGCCCAAAAUAAUGACAGCCCAACAAGCCCAAUAGCUAAUUCCUAAUCCAGGCCCGAAACUAAUGGAAAAGGGAAGGGUUGAGAAAUCCUAGCAGCAGCCCCCGCCUCCAACAGUCCCAAUCGGCGUACAACUCGGAGCUAGAGGCCUCUUCCGCGAGAGUUGCGCCUCCACGUGCGCGGCAUCCCUCAACAACCUUCAUACCUGCGGCAAAAGCAGACUUAACGAGAGUAAACGCAGUAAAUAAGGAAAAAAUAAUUCUUUCAUCAUUUUUUGUGGGGUUUACUCGGCUAUAUAAGGCCGAUUUCAAUCUGUAAAUGGGGAUUGAAGGGAGAAAUCAAAAGAAAAACUGAAAAACAGAGGGAAAAAAUCAAUAAGAGCAAAUCGAUUAUUCGUUUUUUUAAAGAGGUGAUCAUUCGAUUUUUUUAGAUUUUUUUCCUUUCUUUUUCCGAUUUGGUUUUUUUAUAUAUUGCAAUAAUAAAAAAUAAAGGAAAGAAACUUACCUUCGGAGCUCAUUGCGUCGUAUCUCCAAUCGGCGAAAACGCGACGGAGGCCGUUUGCAGCGGCGGUGCAAAAAGGGGGCGAAAGAAAACCCUAGCAGAGGGCCU